rnacentral:rRNA from 1 species
GACAAACGCUGGCGGCGUGCUUAACACAUGCAAGUCGAGCGGAAAGGCCCUUCGGGGUACUCGAGCGGCGAACGGGUGAGUAACACGUGAGUGACCUGCCUUUGACUUUGGGAUAACCCUCGGAAACGGGGGCUAAUACCGGAUAGGACCUUCUGCCGCAUGGUGGGGGGUGGAAAGCUUUUGCGGUCAGGGAUGGGCUCGCGGUCUAUCAGCUUGUUGGUGGGGUGAUGGCCUACCAAGGCGACGACGGGUAGCCGGCCUGAGAGGGCGACCGGCCACACUGGGACUGAGACACGGCCCAGACUCCUACGGGAGGCAGCAGUGGGGAAUAUUGCACAAUGGGCGGAAGCCUGAUGCAGCGACGCCGCGUGAGGGAUGACGGCCUUCGGGUUGUAAACCUCUUUCGGUAGGGACGAAGCGUGAGUGACGGUACCUACAGAAGAAGCGCCGGCCAACUACGUGCCAGCCGCCGCGGUAA